AUUUCCAGUUAGUUGCUCUUUGCUAUUUGGCUACUUCGGAUUUAUCUGUCAACCACUCACUCCUUAGUUCGCUUGCUUCAGGUGCAUUAUUGUUACUGGACAGCGAACAAAACCACAUUCAGGAACCUAAAUGUGGAACAUCCAUCUCCUGAUUGGACUCAACAUAGAGUAAGGCUAUUUCAGCGCCAAACAGAGGAAUAUGAAGAAGCCAAGCGUCUUGCCAGGCAGUACCUGGAAGAUUCCCAAGCCGAGAGUGAGAGAGAGGUGACCAAACAAAAGGUUAAGAACAAUAAGCGGUACCUGUCCAGCUCUGAUGAUGAAGCAGGUCCAUGCUCUACUGAGAGAACGAGAGUUCCCAUGGCAAAGAGAAUGCUGUUGCCGAUAGAACCAUUCAGCAGAGAUG